rnacentral:rRNA from 1 species
AGAAUCAACGCUGGCGGCGUGCCUAACACAUGCAAGUCGAACGAGAAAGGGACUUCGGUCCUGAGUACAGUGGCGCACGGGUGAGUAACACGUGACUAACCUACCCUGGAGUGGGGAAUAACUGAGGGAAACCUUAGCUAAUACCGCAUAAUACCUACGGGUCAAAGGAGCAAUUCGCUUCAGGAGGGGGUCGCGGCCGAUUAGCUAGUUGGCGGGGUAAUGGCCCACCAAGGCAAUGAUCGGUAUCCGGCCUGAGAGGGCGCACGGACACACUGGAACUGAAACACGGUCCAGACUCCUACGGGAGGCAGCAGUGGGGAAUUUGCGCAAUGGGGGAAACCCUGACGCAGCAACGCCGCGUGGAGGAUGAAAUCCCUUGGGAUGUAAACUCCUUUCGAUCGGGACGAUUAUGACGGUACCGGAAGAAGAAGCCCGGCUAACUUCGCGCCAGCAGCCGC